UGAUUUGAGAGUGAUCUGGCUGAGAUAUCUAUCACCCCACCGAUUACCAGGGUUCAUUUGACUGAUUUGGUUGGCUAGACAGGUGUCCCCUUCCUCCCUCACCACUCCAUGUGAGUCUCUCCAAAAGCUGGGCACUCUGUCAAAGAGGAUGAACAUCCCCGAUAGAGGAGGAACAUUUUUUGUUCAAGGGUAUACUAGUAACUGUGCUCCCCUGCUUGUUUGGGAGCAAACAAUCUCCCCAAUGUUCAUAACUCUGAAUAUGUGUUAUCUUACAUACUUAUAAAAUAU
rnacentral:snRNA from 1 species